ensembl:processed_transcript
UGAUUUUUGCCUAUUCAGUGCCUUAUGCAUGUAUUUUUAAGUUGCGUCUGAAAGUUCAGAUCAGUUUUUACCUUUUUGUACAUUCACUAUCAAAUAUUCAUCAACUUUUUAUUUUUAUAAAUGAUGUUCCAUUUUAAAGCUACUAAGACAAAGACAUCUGAACUACACUAUUCAGCUAGGGUCAUCUACAAUUAAUUCAGUCAAAAGUCUUGAUGGUCAGCUGUCCUUUAUUGGUCACAUAACCUGCAUGAUUGUGCAAGCUUUGUUUUCUUUCAAUAAAAUUAGAAGGAUCAGACAUUUUGUAAUAGAGCAGGUUGCUUAAAGGUCUUGUCCAAGCACUUGUGAUUUAUAUAUUAGGCUACUGCAAUGUUCUUCAGGCCGAACUUCACUAUCAUCGGCAGUGAAACCUCUUCAGAUGAUCUUCAAUGCUGCAGCUCAUCUGGUCUAAGCUCUAUUUAUCCCAAUAGAGUCCUCUUCACACAUCAAUAUCACAGGAGAAUUGAGCUGGUUUUCUUUCUUCUUGCUCCGCUGACGCAUGCCUUAAGAGGUGUCAGCGGAGCAAAAUCAGCUCCUCCUUUACCAAAAUCCAACAUCAAACCUGCAGUCCGGAGCUCUUCCCCAUCUACAGCCAGUGUUUCAGAGGAACCAGAUGAUCAAUCCAGCAAAGGUGUCAACGGGCUACUCCAGCAUGAACCAGUCAUGGUAAGGCAUCUGU